UUAUAAUAUGCAUUAUAGACUAUAGUUAUACAGCUUGAAUUUGAAAGAGCUACAUGGUCGUUGUUUCGAGUGCUUUUUCAUCUGCUGUGAUGAAUUGGCAGACAGCAUCAACGGUUACCAACAUAAUAGGUGCAUUGCAAGUUGUGCAAUGCUGAAUGCAUACGUUUCGUCAGUGACUUCCUUCUGCCUCAUUGAUGCGAAACUGAUAAUAAACAUGCAAGAGAAUACAGCUAUAGUUACUCUGGACUGCCAUGAUAGAAACAUUGAAACAGAUAUUGACUGGCUUUAGGUAUGUGAGACGUUUUUAUUGGUGUUGCAAACGAUGUAACGAUCACUAAAUUCUGUGCCUAUGUGAGAUUUGUUGGUUCAUCGAAUAACAUCAAACUUACAGUGAAGUGAUAUUGGGAUAUGGCCAGCUGAUGCAGAUGUAAACAAAUGCUGCGAUUAUCCAGCAUCAGAAGACGAGGAUGAAGAAGUAGAAGAUGAUGAGGUUGGAGGAAAUGGGGAUAAAAGAAAGAAGAAACGGGACAUAGACUAUAAAGGAGAUUGGCGGGAGCUUUCAAACAGAAUAACUUCCUUCGUUAAUGAUCCUGAGUUUGACGUGAU